CCUCAAGCAAUCCUCCUACCUUGGCCUCCCAAAGUGCUGGGAUUACAGGCAUGAACCACUGCACCUGACCUUGUUUUUCCUAAGUGAGUUUGAGGAAUAUAUUUUCGUUCCUCUUUUAAUACCAUGAAGCUUUCAAGUUCAUAGCUCAUAAAAUGUUAUGUAGCAUUGAAUUGUUUAAUGAAAAUGAAAAUCAGAUUCGUUUUCAUUAUUAAUAAAAAUUUCAAUAGUAUUCACAUUUAGAUAAGAGAUGCACAGAAUUUUUGGUCUACUUUUAAAUUAAUAUUACAGUUCUUAAAGUGCCCUAGGUGAACCUGUUCUUUUGAAAUAGCAGAGAUUUUUUUUUUUAAAUAUGCUUUUGUGUUUAUUACCUAAAGGAGCUAUUCUGAAAUUUUUAUGCAGAAAAAUCCUCUUCUGCUCCAUCCACAGAAGAUUUUUUAUCCAUAGAUAUUUUUGCCAUCUCCUUUCUUCUCUUUCCUUUGUUAUAAAUGAUAGGAAAAGACUGCUUUUUUCAAAAAUUGUGUUUUUAAAUUGGUGAAUUUUGCCAUGCUUAACUGAGAUAUCCUCCUUUUGGGUAUAAACGUUUGUUAACUGUUAUAAAGAGCUUUCUAUAAUAGACACAGUAGACGGUACUUAAUUUUUUUCUCCCUUCUUGGUAGAUAUCUUUUGGUUAAAAGAAAAUGCGUCACUUGCCUCCUAUCAUAGAGGCUUGGUAUGAGCAGCCAGGGGUGCAGUCACCAGGGAAGGCCUUUGCCAGCGAGCCUUGCUCCGCCGUUAGCUGCUUCCGCUCUUCUUCUUCCAGCGAGCCUUGCUCCACCGUUAGCUGCCUCCGCUCUUCCUCUUUUCCAGAUGAGCAGAUGCUGACAGCCAAAAAGUAGACAGAAAAUAAGCGCGGAGAAUUCAGAUAUGGGGAAAAUAUUGUGGGAAAAAUAGAUGCUUUAUUUUUCUUCUUAAUAUUAUGGAGAAAGUAAAUAUCUUUGGGUAAAAUACAUGAUUUGUAGCCACUCUAGAAAACAGAUGUUUAAAAUCUGACAAAUAAUCUUCCUGUAAGUUAUUACUGCUCCAUGAUUUCAUACCGGGCAGCAUUUGUAAAUUAAUCCAAAUGAAAUUGUAUCUCCUUAUUUGAAUUUCCUGUACAUUCGAUAAAGACAAGAGAAUUAACAUGAUGCUAUUGAUUGUCAUAUCAUCACUUCUGGCCUUUUCUGAUAGCACUGUACAGCAAAACAAUUUAUCAAAAAAUAGUAUUUUGUUUUGUUUUGCUUUCUUAACCUGAGCUUGGACCUGCAUAGCAAUAUGUUGAUUUUUAAGGUAUGUUUUAUAAAUUUAAAAAAUGCUAUUUUAAAAUAAUUACUUUGAAGAGAUGGUAAUAUUUCUAGUGAGAAUAUUAAGGGACCACUGCUAUCAUGUAGUUUUUAAAUUAGAAGGCUCAAUUUCAGUUUUUAUUAGAAUAUUGUUUAGUAUCAAAUGACUAUUAAAAGUAUAUAGUGCAAUAAAAAGAAAGACGUGAAGGAAUGUAGAAACAUUAAAACAAAAUCGAACCUCCUUCAGUAGUAGUUAUGUCAGAUGUAAUUAAAAGAUGGGAUGUAAUUUGACUAUCAAGUACUUGAACCAGUGCUUUUAUUUGUAGUAUAUAUGUGUAUACAUGUUUUUGAUUACAGAUGUUAAACACAAAGUGAAACACUAUUGAUUUGAAGCACUGGCCAAUUUAAAAAUAAUUUAAAUGGUUACCCCAGAACCUUGUCAUAAUUUUUUUGGGGAUUUUUGUACAAUAUAUAGCCCUAGUUUCGUCUCCAACAUUCUCAACUUUAAGAAAGCAUUUGCAUUUCCUGUCCUCUCCUAACUGGGAGAAUAUGCAAAUGUUAUAAAAUAAAAUUCUCUUUUAGAAAUAGGUCCUAAAACAGUACUUUCCUGUAAUACAUUUACAAGGGUGAAAUACAAGUUCAGAGGAUUAAGAUCCUUUUAUUUGACAGUGUCUCUUUAAAUUUACAGAGAAAAUAGUGGCAGAUUUUCUAAUUCCUGGUCUUUGUUCUUACCUCUUCUACUGGAGGUUUUGGGGUCUGUGUCAGGAAACCUUACUAUUACUAAGGUAAUUUGUUAAGGCUUUUUGCUUGGGUGUACACCACUGGGAUUGAGAUGCUUUGUAUUUCCACUGCUCUGUGAAUUCAUUUUUUAUUCCCCCGGCUUCUGGGGGGAGAUAUAUUCAAACUAGGAUGUUUAAAUAGCAGUAAAACACACAUUUUUAUACCCUUUACAAAGAUCUGUUCCUUCCAUUUUCUUUCUCCUUCCAUUCCCCAAAUCCUUCUUUCUCAUAGAAAAAUUUCAAAAUAUAAGCAUUAAAUAUUUCAGCAUACAUUUUCUAAGAAUCAAGAAUGGUCUCUUACAUAACCAACACUAUUAUCGCACCCAAGAAUAUUAACAGGAAUUUAGUAAUAUCAUUUAAUAUACGAUUCAUAAUUGGAUUUCUCCAGUUGUCUGUAGCUAUCUUUUUGUAUUUUUUGCAGUUCAGGAUUAAUUUUUCAUUUGGUUAAAUUUGUAAUUUUUUCAAAUCUAAAAGAGUACCUCAUUCCUGUUUUUUGUUUUCUGUGACACUAAUUUAACUUUUCAUUUUGCAGUAAUUUCAGAUUUACAGAAUAGUUACAGAGAUAGUAUAAAUCAUUCUUAUGUAUACUUGCUUCCUCAAAUAUUAACAUAUUGUAGAACUGUACCACAAUUAUCAAAAGUAGACGGUUAAUACUGAUACGUUAUUACUAACUAAUCUGUAGACCUUCAAAUGCUGACACUUUUCUUACAAGUGUCCUUUUUCUGAUUCAAGACAGUUUAGGACUCCAUGUUGCAUUUAGUUGCUGCGUCUCCUUUGUCUCUUGUAUUUAAUCAAGGUAUAAAUUUGUAUUUAAUCACCUUGACAAUUUAGAAGAGUGUCAGUCUGUACUUUUAUGGAAUGUCUUUAUUUUUGAGUUUGCCUAAUGUUUCCUCAUGAAUAAAUUAAGAUUAUUCAUUUUUGGCAAUAAUUGCACAGAAGUGAUGCUGGGUUCUACUCAGGGCAUCCUAUUGGGGUUGCAUGAUGUCUAUGUGUCUCAUGAUUGGUGGUGCUAACUUUUCUUUUAACCUGAAACAUCUUACUCACCAAUUUUUUUAAGGGAUUAAGUAUUUUAUUUUUCUAACUGACAAGUACAAAUUCUGUGUAUAGUGUUUUCACAUAUAUCUACACACACACCUUGUGAAGUGAUUAAAUUAAGCUAAUUAGCAUGUAUUACAUCAUAUACUCAUUUGUGUGUGUGUAUAUAUGAGGUGAGAACACAUAAGAUCUACUCUCAGCAGUGUUCAGGUAUAUAAUGUGUUAUCAUUACCUGUGGUCACUAUGACAUACAGUAGAUCUUUUGAACUUACUCCUCAUCUCAAAAUUUUGUGUACUUUGGCUAAGAUCUCCUCAGUGCAGGCAAUUGUCUUACUGAGGCUUGCUCAUUCUAGAUUUAACUUAAUAUUUCCUCAUGGUUAGGCUUAGGUUAAGACAUUUUGCCAAGAACAUUACAUUGUCAAUACUGCGUGUUUCAUGUUGUGUUUAUUAUAUGAUUCCCAGUAUUAGGUCAUCCCACUUUGGGUGAUGAUAUCUUUGAUCAUUUGGUUGGGGUAGUGACAAAUGUGGGCAUAUUUUUAGGAUUAUCUUAGAAACUUUUCAGGAAAAGAACCUAUAGUAAUUACUGUUGGCUGACUAUUUCCAAAUUUAAAAAGAAAGGAAGAAGGAAAAUUAGAGCACAGAGGUUUCAUGGAACCAGAAAAAGAGACCGACUCCAGUUUUGUCUUUUUCCCCUCCCUGGGUGAGGGGUCUGGGGCGUUACUCUUCAUCAUUGUUGGCUAUGUUCAGCAGUAAGGCAGUCUUUGGCACGUUUUGCUGGAAUUCGAUUUUAAAUCCUGUGAGUGUGCGUAGUCCUGAGCACAGCAGUGAUUUUGAAAGGCUUUGUUUAUAACCUUUGUUGAGAUCCUUUUAGAAGUUCCGUCAGAAUCUGAGCUUAUUCUUUUAAAUAUCCUCAGCAGUGACUCAUUUUUAUGAAGGUAAAUUUGAUUUUCAUAAAUAUCAAAAGAUCAUUCUGUGCCAAAUAUGAUUAAUAAGGUCAUACUAUUUCAGGAAGAACAAAAGCAUAACAAAAGUAAGAACGAUUUUUUAUUUAAAGAUGCUUAUAUAAUGUUGACGUUUUACUGAUGUGAAGAAAGAACAGCGUAGUUGGGUUUAGUGUAGCAGUUCCCCAGGUGACUUCCUUAAAGCUGUCACUCAUUCAGCCCUCUGAGGUCUAGUGUGUUUAUUAACAUAUGAGUAUUAUCAACAUACCUUGCGUAUACACAAGCACACACUACAAAGUCUCAUCUUUUUAUACAUUAAAGUGUAAUUCACUGAUUCGUUCUUUUUGUGUAAUUAGGGUGGUUUGGGAGUUACCUGCCGACUUUGUACUGUGUACAGGCCGUUUUGUUAGUUGCUGUGGAGUAAACAGGUUUAUGUAGGACUCGGUAAUGCUCCCCUGGAAUUGAUCAUCUAAAAUCUGUCAGGAGGUGAAACGUGUACAAACAUCAUAACUGCCCUUUAUGAUACUGUUGUUGUAGUCAGACAGGGAUAAAGCGGUAUAAAGCUGGGAGUCAUGAGUUCAGAAAAACAAUGUGGCUUCUGUCAGCCAUCACCAAGAUUUAAUAGAUGACGAGUCCUACAAGGUGGGUCCCUGGCUACUUCUCUGACCUCAGCUCCUGCCACUGCUCCCCUUGCUCACGUACCGUUUUCUAGGCAUAUUGACUCACUUGUCUUAGCAGACAUUUGUUGAGUCAUGCACUGGUGUAACACUGGGGAUACAGCCUGAACAAGCAGAGGAAGAUUCCUGCCACCAAGCAGUUACCUUCUAGCACAGGGACAGUAGAUGUGGCAAAUUAUAAAUUGUGUAUUACGGCAGAAGUGGAAGGCGCUAUAGAAAAAAAAAUAGGGGAAGGGGUGCAAGGAGAGUGUGGGUUUGUAGUUUAAAACCAAGAGGUCAGAGCAAACCCCAUUUAGAAGGUAACAUUGAAAUAAAGACUUAAGGGAGUUGAGGAAACUAAUCAUACAGAUAUGAGGAAGAGCAUUCAGUCAAAAGUAUCAACUAGUAAAGAGGCCUUAGAUGGGAGUGUGCUUGGAAUAUUCACCACAUCACCACAACCAUAGCAGAGAGGAGGAGGAGGAGGAGAGUGAUAGGAGAUACUGUCAGAGAAGCAAUAGGGGAGUCAGAUCUAGAGGUCUUAUAGCCACUGUCAGGACUUUAACUUUUACCCUGAGUGAGAAGGGGGCUCACCGUAGGUUUUUCAGCAGAGGUGUGACGUGCUGUGACAUGCACUUAGAUAUUUGAAGGUUCAUUGGCAUCACUGUGUUAGGAGCAGACGAUAGUAGGGCCAGGUUAGAAGCAAGAAGCCUAUUCCUGCCAGGAGCCUGUUGCUGUAGUUGAAGUGGAGGGUGAUAGGGGCCUUGACUGGGACGGGAAUGGUGAAAGUAGUGGGGUGUGGCUUAGAUUCUGGUAUCUUUUGAAGAUGGAGCCAAGAGAAUCUCUCGACAGACUAGAUGGGGAGCAUAAAAGAAACAGAUGUAAAUAAAGAAUGACUCCAAGGAUUCUGGCUGCAGUAACUGAAAAGAGGUUGCCUUGUACUGAGACAUGGAAAGCUAUUCAAAAAGCAAGUCGGGAAGUGGCAAUCAAGAAUAUUGUUUUGGACAUGUUUGCUUCAAAAUGAUCAUUAAAUAUCAAGUACACUUUUAAGUAAACUGUUACACAGAUGUAGAGUUUUUGAGAGCAGCCUGGGCUGAAAAUAAAAAACCAUGGAAUUCAUUUUUUUUCCUGCCAUCCAGUGGCCUGUUCUAAAGGCAUCCUGAAACACAGAAAUGGACAUUCGUACAGACAGAGAGGACUCCGGGAGAGUAACUCCAACAAACAAAAAUCUUAGGAUUAAAAAAUAAAAUUGCUAAAAUAAAAAAACAAACUGGUUGGACUGAAUUGCAGAAUAAAGAUGAACAAAAGAGAGAGUGAGUGAAUCUGAAGAUAGAGCAAUAGAAAUUAUUAUUCAGUCUGAACAACAGAGAAAAAAUCAUUGUGUGAAAUAAAUGAACUGAACCGCAGGAACCUGUGGGAUAAAACUGAAAGGUUUAACAUUUGUGUCUCAAGUGUUCCAGAAGGAGAGGAGAAAGUGUGUUUCAGGAAAAAAAAAAAAAAAAAAAAAAACGAAGAAAUAAUGGUUGAAAACUUUCCUAAUUUGGUGAAAGAUAUAAGGAUUUAAGAAGCUAAGUGAACCUAAACAAGCCCGGAGAAAUCCAUGAUCAGACACGUCAUAAAUAAACUGCCUAAAAUUCAAGACUUUUUAAAAAAUCCUGAAAGAGGAAAAUGCACAGGCAAUUCAAUGGGGAAAGUGUGGUCUAGGAAAAAUUGUACUUCCAUGUGCAAAAAAGUAAUAAAAAAGAACUUUGAUGUAAACCUCACAAUUUGUGCAAAAAUUAGCUCAAAAUAGAUCAUAAAUGUAAGACUAAGUUUUUGAAGCUCCUCUGUCUUGUUCUCCAGAGUGUAAGACUAAGGGUCCUAGCCCACUGAUAAGUCCUCAGUGCGUAUAUUUGAAUGCGUGAAUCACUGCUCCUGGAGAAAAGAGAAUGAGAUAAACUUCAAAGGGUAGUUAUACAGAAUAGAUUGGAGAAUUAAUACUAUAAGAAUAUGUUAUUUACUUUAACUGCCUUUUUUUCAUUAAAAUUAGCUUUAUUGCUUUAUGUGUUCAAAUUAUGUAAGUAAUGAAAUCUAAUUAAUUGGUGAUUUUGAUUAUGAGUAUUUUAAUUUCCUCCUUAUAACCUCAAAUUUUAUGUCAGUGUUUACUGCUCUUAUUUUUAAAAAUCGCUAAUAACUUACUCUCUUAAAAAAACAGGUUAUUCAUUUUAUGAGUGGCAGGUUACUUUCUUAUUAUUCAGCUGUAAUCAAGGUGGUCUUAUUUACAUUUUAAUAUUCUAUAGUGUUUAUUUUAUGUAUCAAGUUAAAUAAAUGGUCUCAAGAAUCACUUUAAGCAGUCUAGAAAGCAGAUGUUCAAAGACCUACCUUUUUUUCAGAGUCAUUAAAUAUGUAGAAAGUUAAUCAAGGAAGGUAAAUUAGUUCUGCCUAUAAAUUAAGAAGAGCGGCAGUUCAUUUCCCUUAUCUUUUAAAAAUAAAACUGACUUCACUUUUUA